rnacentral:rRNA from 1 species
AUUGAACGCUGGCGGCAUGCCUUACACAUGCAAGUCGAACGGCAGCGCGGGGGCAACCUGGCGGCGAGUGGCGAACGGGUGAGUAAUAUAUCGGAACAUGCCCAGAAGUGGGGGAUAACGUAGCGAAAGUUACGCUAAUACCGCAUACGAUCUACGGAUGAAAGUGGGGGACCGCAAGGCCUCAUGCUUUUGGAGUGGCCGAUAUCUGAUUAGCUAGUUGUGGGGUAAAGGCCUACCAAGGCGACGAUCAGUAGCUGGUCUGAGAGGACGACCAGCCACACUGGAACUGAGACACGGUCCAGACUCCUACGGGAGGCAGCAGUGGGGAAUUUUGGGACAAUGGGGGGCAACCCUGAUCCAGCAAUGCCGCGUGUGUGAAGAAGGCCUCGG